AGCAGCCGCGGUAAUUCCAGCUCCAAUAGCGUAUAUUAAAGUUGUUGCAGUUAAAAAAGCUCGUAGUUGAAUUUCGGGAUCAGCUCGUCGGUCGUGCCUUUGGUAUGUACUGGUGUUACUGGUUCCUCCCUUCUGACGAACCGUCAUGUCAUUAAUUUGGUGUGGCGGGAAAUCAGGACUGUUACUUUGAAAAAAUUAGAGUGUUUAAAAGCAGGCUACGCGCUUGAAUACAUUAGCAUGGAAUAAUGAAAUAGGACGUUCGAUCCUAUUUUGUUGGUUUCUAGGAUUGACGUAAUGAUUAAUAGGGAUAGUUGGGGGCAUUAGUAUUCAAUUGUCAGAGGUGAAAUUCUUGGAUUUAUUGAAGACUAACUACUGCGAAAGCAUUUGCCAAGGAUGUUUUCAUUAAUCAAGAACGAAAGUUAGGGGAUCGAAGACGAUCAGAUACCGUCGUAGUCUUAACCAUAAACUAUGCCGACUAGGGAUCGGAUGGAUGUUAAUUUUUAAUGUACUUCUAUUCGGC
rnacentral:rRNA from 1 species